UGACGACGCGCCUGCCUAUGAAAUCGGGUCUUUGAGGAAACAAAGCAGCUAGCAUUCUUCCAACUUGCAGUCCAAUUCGAGUAGAAAAGCCGUUGAGAAUAAGCUCAGGAGGAUGUGAUGUAAAGCAAGCGUGAUUCUUUAAAGGAAAAUAAAGAAAAAUUAAAACAAUGCCACUCAGUUUAAAAUAUGCAGUAGGACCGUGAGGGAGAUGCACCAAAGUUAAGGCGUUGCAUGUUUUCGCAUCCUCGUUAAUAACUAUAAGAAAACCUCAAACUUGCGUAUUUACAAAUUUCUUUAAUAUCGUAAUUUCUUCUUCUAUAGUGUUCUGCGCCAGGAAUGAGCUUU